UGCCUACGGGGCGCAGCAGUGGGGAAUAUUGCACAAUGGGGGAAACCCUGAUGCAGCGACGCCGCGUGAGUGAGGAAGUAUUUCGGUAUGUAAAGCUCUAUCCGCAGGGAAGAAAAUGACGGUACCUGACUAAGAAGCCCCGGCUAACUACGUGCCAGCAGCCGCGGUAAUACGUAGGGGGCAAGCGUUAUCCGGAUUUACUGGGGGUAAAGGGAGCGUAGACGGAGGAGCAAGACUGAUGUGAAAAUCCGGGGCCCAACCCCGGAACUGCAUUGGAAACUGCU
rnacentral:rRNA from 1 species